rnacentral:rRNA from 1 species
CCUACGGGAGGCAGCAGUGAGGAAUAUUGGUCAAUGGACGAGAGUCUGAACCAGCCAAGUAGCGUGAAGGAUGACUGCCCUAUGGGUUGUAAACUUCUUUUAUAAAGGAAUAAAACGAGGCACGUGUGCCUUUUUGCAUGUACUUUAUGAAUAAGGAUCGGCUAACUCCGUGCCAGCAGCCGCGGUAAUACGGAGGAUCCGAGCGUUAUCCGGAUUUAUUGGGUUUAAAGGGAGCGUAGAUGGGUUGUUAAGUCAGUUGUGAAAGGUUGCGGCUCAACCGUAAAAUUGCAAUUGAUACUGGCAGUCUUGAGUACAGUUGAGGUAGGCGGAAUUCGUGGUGUAGCGGUGAAAUGCUUAGAUAUCACGAAGAACCCCGAUUGCGAAGGCAGCUUACUAAACUGUGACUGAAAUUGAUGCUCGAAAGUGUGGGUAUCAAACAGGAUUAGAUACCCCAGUAGUC